rnacentral:rRNA from 1 species
AUUGAACGCUGGCGGCAGGCUUAACACAUGCAAGUCGAGCGGAGAUGAGAUGCUUGCACCUUAUCUUAGCGGCGGACGGGUGAGUAAUGCUUAGGAAUCUGCCUAUUAGUGGGGGACAACAUUCCGAAAGGAAUGCUAAUACCGCAUACGUCCUACGGGAGAAAGCAGGGGAUCUUCGGACCUUGCGCUAAUAGAUGAGCCUAAGUCGGAUUAGCUAGUUGGUGGGGUAAAGGCCUACCAAGGCGACGAUCUGUAGCGGGUCUGAGAGGAUGAUCCGCCACACUGGGACUGAGACACGGCACAGACUCCUACGGGAGGCAGCAGUGGGGAAUAUUGGACAAUGGGGGGAACCCUGAUCCAGCCAUGCCGCGUGUGUGAAGAAGGCCUUAUGGUUGUAAAGCACUUUAAGCGAGGAGGAGGCUACUGAGACUAAUACUCUUGGAUAGUGGACGUUACUCGCAGAAUAAGCACCGGCUAACUCUGUGCCAGCAGCCGCGGUAA